rnacentral:lncRNA from 1 species
AUGUCCUGUACAAAUUUACUUUCAGAUGAGCCAAAGCAAGAUGAGCUGAAUCCGUUUUCUUUCAAGGAGUUCGUCCGAUACAAGAACCAGCAGUCUUGUACUACAGAAGCCACAGAGGUGUGUGGUGGAGCAUUCAACGUCGAACAGGAUUAUAACACCUCCAUAGAUUUUGCCACGAAGGGGCCGUUCUUCUCAGACCCGUCUGCGCUCUGUCAGCCUUCUGAAAACGAACCUGAGGAAACAUGGAUUGAAAGCUGCCGCCCAUCAGCCCUUGAUGGUUCUCAUGACUUCGAACUAUCUGGUACUUUAGACCUCAGUGCUUUCUCUGAGCAGUCAUCUCUCUGCAGUGAUGAGAGGGGAGCACAUGUAACUGAAUGGGAACUGUGUAAUUCUGACUUCCUGCCAAAGAGCCACUUAGCUAGAAGAAGCACAGGAAGCUAUGAGGGUGAUGAAGAGACUUCAGUGAUUGACAUUUCCUUCCAUCCGAAGAGGAGUAAUGCUGAAAAUGGCACAAAGAAUCCCCAACAGGUAUGUUGUGUGAAUUGUGAAUGGUGUGAGGUUUUGUAUAUACAUGAGCCAAUUGUUAUAUUAUAAUUGGUGCAAAUGAAUGUUUUUAAAGGUGUUUUGUGUGUUUUAGCUUAGAGAAGAGAAUUCUCUACUCAGAAAGCAAGUCAAAGAACUCCUUAGAAGGUCAGAAUCUGACUCCAAAAGGUAGGCUAUUUACACCAAUUGUAAUAUUAUAUACAUUACUAAAUGUAAAAUAACACAUUAAUUGUAAUUCUUUUGAGGUAAUUAAAGAUUAGAUUACCCAAAAGUGAACAUUCACUCACUCUCAGGUCAUCGUAUGUGUAGAUGAGUUUGUUUCUUCAUCGGAACAGUUUUGGAGAAAUUUAGCAUUACAUCACUUGCUCACCAACGGAUCCUCUGCAAGUGAAUGGGUGCCGUCAGAAUGAGAGUCCAAACAGCUGAUAAAAACAUCACAAUAAUUCACACGACUCCAGUCCAUGAAGAAACAAACUCAUUUAGAUAUUGUAUGGCCUUAGGGUAAAUGUUCAGCACAUUUUUAUUUUUGGGUGAACCAUUCAUUUAAUGGACUGAAGCUGCUGUGCUUUUAUUAAGUUUCUAGAUGAUUUCUCACUGUUAAACUAUCCAAUUGUAAUAGGAUCAAACAACUGACGGAUGAGUUGCACAACAAGAAGUUGCAGGAGGAGAGAGAGGCUAAGGCUUUGGAGACAAUGGUGCAGUCAGUAGAACAAAACCUUGAGUUAAUGACGGUAUUAAGCACUGUGUUAUCUUUCAUAUGACAUUUCUUUUUGUUUUUAGUGUAAAUCCUAUUCUUAUAAAUGCUUUAAAAAAUUCUGUUUUUUUUUCCAAUACAGAAGCGAGCAGUCAAAGCUGAAAAUAGUAUUUCAAAAUUGAAACAAGAGAUACAACAACUCCAGGUUGGACUUCUUUUCAUAUGCACAAGCACACUGAAGAAAGCAUACUAUGCACAUACAUUAUAUAAUGUCAUCCAGCUAUAUACUAUAUUAUAAGUUUAUGAAUUUGUGAGCAAAAUAUUCAGGUCUGUUAUUGUUCAGAUUAAAACUCCAUUAGUGCAACUAUUUGUAAUGUUUUCUUCCCAGGGUCAGCUUGAAGGAUAUAAAAGUGAAAAUGAGAGGCUAAGAUAUGGAGAAACUACAACCUUAACUACAAUGAGACACAAUGCACAAGUGGCCUCUGAGUACCUUAACAAAGCAGCUCAAGAUGCAGAGACUUCUAUUAAGUAUGAUUAACAACAAUCACUUCAAUCAUUUAACAAUGAUCAGAAAUGUAAAUAAAUGAUCUAAUGUAUCAUUGCACUGAAUGUGUUUUGUAUUUUUACAGGCAGCUGCUGUCAGGAAGAGAGACACUGUGUUAUGUUUCCCAGUUAUUGACAUCUAUUGACAAGAUCACCGAGAUUCAUGAUUGACUUUCUCUUUAAACAUCAUGUUCUGUACUCUAUAGACUCACUGCAUUUGCAUGGUACAUCGUUUAUUUUGUUCAUCCACUUCAUUAAAAUCAUGUUUAGUUUAUAGAAAAUAACAAAAUGAGGUGUGAUGGGCCAAAUGAUUAACAAAAUAAGCUCUAGCAGGAACCAAAUAAAAAACGUGUACCCAAAUAGUGCCUUGGGAUUCUCACCAAAAUCAAAGAUCUAUAUUGUAGUAGAGUAUGGGGAAACAAUAUUUUCAAAAACGUUUUGCACUUUUAUUAAACAAUGAGUCAAGUCACUUCUUAAAAUACUAUAGCAGAUUAUUAACCAGAUUUUGUUUUAUGAUAUAUAACUUAACAUAUUUGAUAUGUUCUAAAUAUGUUCUAAAUUACAACAUUUUAAGUAUUUGUUUAUUUAAAAAUACUUUACUAAUCAAUACUGGAUUGUGUGCCUUAUAUUCAUAAUGCUCUUUAUUGAUUUAAUAAAGAAGAUUAUUUUAGUCACGUGGUCCUGUUAUUCUUUGAGAAUCUGAAAAUUAGUAUCUCUAUAUUAUUGCGUUAACAUUCAAUAGAUGCUAAAUUAUGAAACCAUUAUUAUAUGGCUUUUUUUAUAUCUACUUUUUGUACAAUAUACAAUAUCUAUACUAAAUAUUAAAGCAGUAAGUAUAAAUUUAAUGUUUAUUAAUUAAAAUAGUAAUGAACAUACUAAAACAAUUUGCUAGUUUGGUAGCUGAGAGAUGUAUUUAUUUAUUUCUAGAUCAGUAGGUGGCGGUAAUGCACCUUUUUUGCUGGUUUGCCAAACCGCCAUAAAACACUAGAAGAAGAAGAAGAAGAAGCUCGCUGAGAGGCGAUGGGACUUUCAUAGACAUCAUAUAGGUAGACGCCCUAUCGAACGCUACUGCCUAUUGGCACGGACAGAACAGAGAA